rnacentral:rRNA from 1 species
GAAAGAUGAAAAGAACUUUGAAAAGAGAGUUAAAUAGUACGUGAAAUUGUUGAAAGGGAAACGAUUGAAGCCAGUCGUACCUAUGGGUAAUCAGCCUUUUGGGUGUGAUUUUGUGGAGCGUGAGGAGUUAAACGCCUUCAUGCCUGUAUAUUCGUGCACUUUGGGUGUACUUGCCCGUAUGGUUGGUUAACAUCAAUUUUGGUGGUCAUAAAAUGACUGGAGGAAUGUAGCUUCGAUCUUGUAUUGAAGUGUUAUA